rnacentral:lncRNA from 1 species
UAGGUGUUCCAUACCCCAAGAACCAGCCCAUGAGGAUAUACUCCAGUCUCUGGAAUGCUGAUGACUGGGCAACAAGAGGUGGGCUGGUGAAGACAGACUGGAGCCUAGCCCCCUUCACAGCCUCCUACAGGAACUUCAAUGCCAAUGCAUGUGUUUGGUCCUCUGGAUCAUCUUCUUGCAGUUCAAACUCUCCAUCUUCUACCUCCACCAAUGGUGGAUGGUACUCACAGGAGCUUGAUUCCACAAGCCAAGAGAGAAUGAAAUGGGUGCAGAAGAACUACAUGAUCUACAAUUACUGCACAGACACAAAGCGAUUCCCACAAGGCCUUCCUCUUGAAUGCACUGCCACUACCACGUCCUAGAAAGAACCGAAUCUAAGUCCAUUCAAUCAAUUCUAUUCUUUCAUUCUUUAUCAUUAUAGUUGCUGUUACAGCAGCAGAAACAUCAUACUGUUUACAUUGUAAUAUAUGAGCCAAUUCGGAUAAUAAAAGAUUCUUUAUGAAUGACAUGCACUGUUCUUCGAGCCUCAAUUUGGAUGUCAGAAACCACUAGAGAAAGAAAAGGGCAUUGUCGAAAAUAACUGAAGAGAUUAACCAUUGUCAAUAUAAUUUUUAGCUUUUUUUCAAUUUGUUUUCCCUGUUCUUUAACUUAUGAGACACAGAUGGGGCCUCGAACCAAAUUUAAGGAGUAAAUAAUUUUGAUUUCCUUCCUUUAAAUUGCAAACAGCAAGAAAGUACAGUUAAAACCACAAACCAAGCACUGAGUCACAUAAAAGCUCCAAGCAUGAUGAAGGGGGCAAACAGACACGUGAAAAAUCACCAAUCCAUGAACCCAAAAACAGUCCCAUGCCCUAUGAGUUAUCUAUUGUUAUUUUCUGUCCUGCCUCCUUUGCUUGUGGAAGUCAGCAAGCCUCUUUAUGGUGCUGGUGAUAUGUAGAUUGGGUGUGGACUCAUCUUAACAUUGUAAAUGUGUUUUAAAGUUGGGAAUGAUCUUUAGCCUCAGAAAGAACAAAUAUCUAUUCAUUGGGAUUGGAUUGUUAUAAAUGAUAUUAAAAUCGAUCUCUAACCCCUCACGUGAGAAUUUGUAUAGUCCCGCAAAAGAUGUACGUCUAUUUUGCCCCACAAUUCUAUGAAACACAACAACGACGUUAUGUCUAUAUGAGGGGUGGAUAAUUGUGAUAUCUUAUAUCGGAUGAGGAGGAAAUUUUUCUGGAGCUAUAUAAAUGUAUUAACUCCUCUUAAUCUUAUAAAAACAUUUUAAAGCUGUCAGGAUCUUUUGAGUCUAGAGCGGACAAUAUCGUUUAACAUACGAGUCUGAUCCUCUUCUUAUGACAGAUAAAUUGAUUAUUAGUUACUUCUAUUACAAUAGAUAAUACAUGAAUACUAAGCCACCUCUGAUUUUUGUUUUAUGUUUUUGUUUAAAGUUUCUCCCCUGUUCACAUUAGGUAAGCUCUACUGUAUGUGAGUAGGUAACUGGAUCUUACUAUGGGUGUUGAACAGGCAGUGAUGGAGUCUUGGGCAGGUGCUGCUUGUCUUUCUCUUGUUGUUUUGACAUUUAGGAUCUUUAUACUUGGAAAAAGUGGAUGACAGUGGGUGGAGUUAUCUAUAUAGGAAGCUCUUGUCUAGCACAUUUUUACACUAACACGCUCUUUUAAAGUUUGGUUCUGGUAAAAAGAAAUGACUUCAAUCAAUUAAUCAGCAUCCACCAAUCAUGACAUAUUCUUAUUGAGAUGAUAUUACAGAGAAGUGAAUACAUUGUAAUGUGGUGUCUGGUGAAGAUGCUCUAAUUUUUCAAAUAAUUCAGUGAGUAGGAAGAGAAUGAUCAUUCUUUGAAUAUAACACUUUAUUAAACAUAUGCAGCAAAAGAUGCAAGAGAGAGGACUUAGAUUUUGUUAGCACAAGGGACUUCAAAGGAGGAGAACUUGCGUUCUCUUUGGUCGGAAGAAGCUAUUUAUAGAGUUUUUCCUUGGGUUUCUAAUGAAAUUUCUUACUUAUUCAGAUCUCUUUCAUUUUAGUAGGAUUGGCAACUUUAUAAACCUUGGAACUAUGAUCUUUGACUAUUCUUGUUCUUGCAGUAGUUUUUUUUCUCUGAUAUAUGUUUUUGUAGUCAAGCCAUCAUGUUGGUGAUUUUACUGGCCUCCAGAAAAAAUGAAUACUUUGAGAUGCCCAAAGUGGGGAUUGUUAAAUCUUCUGCACCUCCAUCUGGCAUUUUUGUUUUUUUUUCUGUACUCUUAAUUCAGUGCAAAUAAUAAGAAAUAAACUGCAUAUGAGAAUCACCUGCCUUUUUCGGGCUGUAACUCGGCUUGUGCUAUCAGUGUUUAUUUGUUGUCUGAUUGAUGCACUUGCAGCUACCAACUGGCAGUGAUGAUGGCUUGGGCAGGUGCUAUUUGUCUUUCUCUCCCCUGUUUUUUGGCAUUUAGGAUCCUUCACACUAGGAAAAAUGUCUAGGGAAGCUGUAGUCCAGCACAUUUUUACACUGAAAUGCCCUUUUGUGGUCUGGAACUUAAGCCACAAGCUUUACUACAGUAAAAAGAAAAUGAUUGGAAUCAAGUAAUGAUCAAACCAAUUGAUCAGGACAACUUUUUGUUAAGCUGUUAACAACUUUGAUAUGCUGAAAAGGAUUCCAAACCUGGUUGGGGGACGCGGCAGAAGUUAAAAGCAAUGAUAUUUGCUCAGUACUUUUCCAUUGGAAUACCGUGUGAUUGUGAUGAUUUUAAAAAUAUCAGGAGGAAGUCGGUUGUGGUUGUAUUGUGAGUACUGAUGAAGGAGGCCCGUUUGCAAAUGGGUUACCACUGCCACCUGUAUACAACUCAUUUUUUGGCUCUCCAACUUUGAACCUUCCCAGAAUUAACACACCCCUCUCUCUCCUCCCUUAGUAUAAAUGUCGGCUGAGAAAUCAAUUUCAAUUCACUGAAAUCAAACAUCUUCUCUUCAAACACCUCUUACCAACCAUACAGCACAUCCCUCAAUGGCACCCAUCUAUUCUUCUUCUUCAGCUGUUUCUACGGCCCUGCUAAUCUCUGUAGUGGUAAGCUUCUUAAUGGCUGCCUCAGCAGGUAACUUCUACCAAGACUUUGGCAUCACUUGGGGGGAUGGGCGUGCUAAGAUACUCGACAAUGGAGAGUUUCUCACUCUUUCCCUUGACAAGACCUCUGGAUCUGGUUUCCAGUCCAAGAAUGAGUAUUUGUUUGGGAAGAUUGACAUGCAGCUCAAACUUGUUCCUGGAAACUCUGCUGGCACCGUCACUGCCUACUAUGUAAGCCCGCCUUUCAUAUUACUUGUUGCACAUCAUCCUCCAUUUGAUGAUCAUUUGUUCUCCAGAUUAAUAUGUAGUUCUCAUUCAUGUAUGUGUGGAUUUGCAGUUAUCUUCACAAGGGCCAACCCAUGAUGAAAUCGACUUUGAAUUCCUGGGGAACCUCAGUGGGGAUCCAUAUAUCCUUCACACUAAUGUGUUCAGCCAAGGCAAGGGAAAUAGAGAGCAGCAGUUCUACCUGUGGUUUGACCCAACUGCCGAUUUUCACACCUAUUCCAUUCUCUGGAAUCCCCAGCGCAUUAUGUAAGUACUAUUAUCCAAAUCUUCAAAACUGCAAUCUGGUUUAUGUUUUUUGCGUUUUCAUAUUGAUUUACUCGUCUGGGGUAUCUCUGUUUCAGCUUCUCUGUGGAUGGCACCCCCAUCAGAGAGUUCAAGAACUCUGAGUCAAUUGGUGUUCCAUACCUAAAGAAUCAGCCCAUGAGAAUAUACUCCAGUCUAUGGAAUGCUGAUGACUGGGCAACAAGAGGUGGGCUCAUCAAGACAGACUGGACCCAAGCCCCCUUCACUGCUUCCUAUAGGAACUUCAAUGCAGAUGCCUGCAUUUGGUCUUCUGGAGCAUCUUCUUGCAGUUCAAAUACCCCCACUUCUAUCUCCCCCAGUACUGACUGGUACUCACAAGAGCUAGAUUCCACAAGCCAAGAGAGAAUGAAAUGGGUGCAGAAGAAUUACAUGAUCUACAAUUACUGCACUGACACAAAGCGAUUCCCACAAGGCCUUCCUCCUGAAUGCACUGCAACCACCACAUCCUAGAAGGAAACUCAACAUUAAGGCCAUUCAGUUGAUGCUUUCUUUGUUGGCUUGUAUCAUUUUUGUAACUCUAUUCUUUCAUUUUUUUUUUUUAUCAUUUAAUUGUCAUCAAAACAACAGAAGCCUCACAUUGUUUACAGUAUAAUAUAUGAGGAUUUCUGAGUAACUUUUAUCAUCACUUAUUGCUUCAAAGUUCAAAUGAAAUAGGGUGGGAGAUUUGAAACUCAAUCUAAUGAUCAUCAGUGCGGUAGAAAAGUGUUCUCGUCCGUGCCAAUCUCUGUAAUGGUUAGCUUCAUAAUGGCUGCCUCUGCAGGUAACUUCUACCAAGCUUUGACAUCACUUGGGGAGAUAGGCUUGCCAAUAUACUCAUCAAUGGGGAGCUUCUUACUCUUCCCUAGACUUCAUGAAAAUUUCAGCAUUCUUUAACAAAGAAGUCUUGUAAUCUAAUCAUAUUGAGAAGUGACAGUGACACGAUUCAAUUCGCAGUGGCGUUUGUUAUUUUAACUUAGGUAAGCAAGUCGUUUUAAAAUUUAAGAUAAAAGUUAAAAAAAAUAAAAUACUUUUUUCUUUCAAAUAAAGUUGUUUUAAAAAAUAAUAAUAAUUCAAAAAAACCAAACCGUUUUAAAAAUACUAAACCCUCUAAACAUUUUUUUUAAGACUUAAUUUUUAGUAUCCUAAUUUUAAAAAAAAAAAAAAUUGGUUUUAAAUAUAUAAGGUAAAUUUAUUCUUUUAUACAAAAUGUUCUUUUUAUAUAGAAUUUAUUUUUAUUUUUUUUAAAAAAAAAAGGUGUAUCCAAACAAAUAUUAAAAGUAUAAUAAUUUUAAAAACUAUUUAAAAUUUUGAGUUACUACCUCAAAUUUAAAACAAAAAAAUUAAAGUGAUUCUUAGUAUAUUGUAAUCAAUACUUUUUAUAUAAGAUGUUUUACUUCUAUAUAGAAAUCAAAAAGUGAAAUCCAAAUGAUGAUUGGUAUAUGUUUAGAUAGUUUUUUUUUAUAAGAUAAAAAUAAUUAUUAUUAUUUUGUACAAAAAAAAAAAAAAAGAUUUAUAUUGUAUCUUUAAAGUCACUUCAAAAGUUUUAAAAUUUGAGAUGGUAAAAAAAAAAUUAUAACUCAAUUUUUUUUAAAUAUUUUUAAAAUCAUUAUAUUUUCAAUAAAAAUAUCUAAAAAUUAUGGCAUUUUAUAUAAAUAUUACUAUUAUUUUUUAUUCAAAAAUAUAAAAUAAGAAAUGUAUUAGAUAGACACUAGUAUUAAAUAUUAUUUAGACUUAAAUUAAACUACAAUCUAUUAAAUCCACUGUAAUCAUUAUUGAAAAGUAACUUAAUUACAUUUGGAAUUAACUUCAUCGUAUCCGUAGGUCCAUCGUAUAAUUUGGUCAUUAUUGGAAAGUAAUAUACUCAUGUAUGAAAGUAAGUUGAUCAUAUUUAGGAGAUGAAUUGGUUAUCCAUAUGAAUUUAAUUAUUAAAACUGAAGAUAUCAUACCUCUACCACCCUACAAUGCACAAUGUAGACAAAGGUCCAUCAAUAUUACACAUUAAGCCCCAAAGCCCAAUAUAGAAAUGAGUCAAAUGACAGAUAGAUACUUCAAAACUUGAACCAAAAAGUGUGAAGUAGUUAUUUUCAACACUAGAGAUACAUUUCCAAAAAUCAUAAGUUUAUCUCAAUGACAAACAUAGUUUUCAAGUAAAUUAAAGAAAUUAACUUUCACAAGCUUAAGAAUACAAUUAAAUCAACUAGGUGGGGGUGGUUGGUUCAAACUUCAGGGACGGUGGUGGCUCUAGGUAUGGAUAAUAAUUGGUGUUUUGGUAGAAGGGAAAGUGGUUUGGCCCUUCUGUUUCUUUUUUCAAGUGCAUGCAUAGACCGUGUCAAAAUGAAAGUGGGUUGCGCUUGUGCCAUCAGAUGACAGCUAUUGCCUUCACAUAUUGAGCUCAACUGUGAACAGCUGCUGACUCAUCCUUCCUUCUCUCCUUCCAGGCUUCCGCUUUUCCCCCUCACCAUCUAUACUAUAAAACCCCACGUACCCACACCGUUCUCCUCACUUCCACACUCCAAACUUCUCCCCAUUUCCCAUCCCUAUAUUCACAUUCAAUGGCUUCUCCCUCUACUUCGAAUCUGUCACCAAAGUUGCUCUUGAUGUCUCUUCUGCUUGGUUCCUUUGUGGUUGCUUCUGUUGGUAACUUGUACCAAGAUUUUGAUCUCACUUGGGGUGAUGGCAGAGCCAAGAUCCUCAACAAUGGACAGCUUCUUACUCUCUCCCUUGACAAAGCCUCUGGCUCUGGCUUCCAGUCCAAGAAUGAGUAUCUGUUUGGGAAGAUUGAUAUGCAGCUGAAGCUUGUGCCUGGAAACUCUGCUGGCACUGUCACUGCCUACUAUGUAAGCCUCCUCUUUACCAAGUGUUUUUGCAUCAAAUGCUUUCUUGGUUUUAUCUUCUUCUGACUCACAAACCAAUACCUGCUUUGUGUAAUUGCAGCUAUCUUCACAAGGGCCUACCCAUGAUGAGAUAGAUUUUGAAUUCUUGGGGAAUCUCAGUGGUGAUCCAUACAUUCUUCACACUAAUGUGUUCAGCCAAGGAAAGGGAAACAGAGAACAGCAGUUCUACCUCUGGUUUGACCCCACUGCUGAUUUCCACACCUAUUCCAUCCUCUGGAAUCCCCAGCGGAUUAUGUAAGCACUAUAGUAAUUAAUCUUCAAAAUUGCAAUCUGGUUUACGUUUUUCGGGUUUUUGUAUUGAUUUACUCAUCUGGGGUAUCUCUGUUUCAGCUUCUCUGUGGAUGGCACCCCCAUUAGAGAGUUCAAGAACUCUGAGUCCAUUGGUGUUCCAUUCCCAAAGAACCAGCCCAUGAGGAUAUACUCCAGUCUCUGGAAUGCAGAUGACUGGGCAACAAGAGGUGGUCUUGUGAAGACAGACUGGAGCCAAGCACCUUUCACAGCCUCCUACAGGAACUUCAAUGCCAAUGCUUGUGUUUGGUCCUCUGGAUCAUCUUCUUGCAGUUCAACCUCUCCAUCUUCUACAUCCACCAAUAGUGGAUGGUACUCACAAGAACUAGAUUCCACAAGCCAAGAGAGAAUGAAAUGGGUGCAGAAGAACUACAUGAUCUACAAUUACUGCACAGACACAAAGAGAUUCCCACAGGGCCUUUCCCCUGAAUGCACUGCCACCACCACAUCCUAGAGGAAACUCAACCUUAAAGGCCAUUCAGUUAGAUAGUUUGCCUCUGUAGGUUUCCUCAGUUCUGUUCUUUCAUUCUUUAUCAUUUUAGUCGGUAUCACCACAGCUCAUUGUUUACAUUGAAAUAUAUGAGAUGAAUAAAAAAUCCUUUUAGCCCUUUUUCUGUUUCUUCUCCUUGUUCUUUAACUUCUGACAGAUACAGAUUGGGCCUUAUACCAAAUUUAAAGAGUAAAUAAUCUUAAUUUCUUUCCACUUUAAUCACAAACAGCAAGAAACUUCAGUUAAGAGUCACCAAAACUAUGUACUGAGUCACACAAGAAGCUCCAUGCAUGAUGAAGGCGGCACACAGACAAAUGUAAAAUCGCCCCCAAAUCCAUGAACCCUAUAAAAUAAUAUUUUUCAAACUAAGAGAAAUUAUUACCUUAAUGGCAUGGUUGAUUUAUUCAUAAAUGAAUAAUUUAUUAAUUUAUUGAUAAAUAAAUAAUUAUCAAUUAAUAAAGAAUAUUAUAUUCGUAUUAUAUAGUUCUUGUACAUAUGACUUAUUAAUCUAAAAAUAAUAGAUAUAAUAAAAAGUUAAUAUAUAGAAACUUAAGAAACCUGAAAAAAUAAAAAAUGGUUAUUAAUUAUAAAAGAUAGCGGGACUCUGAAAAGAAAAAAAUGUAGUAUCAAAACUUAAAAAUUUAUUUGAUAAUAAUUUUAAGUAACACAUUUAAUUUUAAAAGCAUUUUUUUUAAAAAAAGAAAUAAAAAAGACAUUUCACAAGAUUUGGAAAACACUUUUAAAAAUUAAUAAAAAAAGGUUUUCAACAAAAACACUUUUGAAGAGAAACAAUGUCAAAUUCACUUUUAAUUGCUAAAACAUAAAUAUUAUUCAUAAAUUUUUUUAAACUCUUAUAUAUUUCUAAAAUAAUAUUAUUAUCUUUUAUAUUUAAUAAAGUUAUUAAUUUAGUACACAGCUCGAGGCGUUAUCGAGCCUUUACCGUGUCUCCGAUGUUCACAUUGGGUAAGCUCUUCGAUAUGUUGUUGGCUGGCAAGGAGAUGAGCAGGUGACUGGAUCUUGCCAGUGGUGUUCAACUUGCAAUUACAAAUUUACAACUGGCCAUGAUGAUGGCUUGGGCAGGUGCUACUUAUCUUUCUCACCCUGUUUUGGCAUUUAGGAUCUUUAGACUUGGAAAAAAGUGGAUGACAGUGGGUGGUGGAGUGAUGUAUGUAGGAAGCUCUGGUCCAGCACAUUUUUACACUAGAGCCCUCUUUUGAGGUUUGGUUCUGGUAAAAGGAAAAUGAUUUGAAUCAAGUAACCAUCAUCAUCAACUAAUCAUGACAAGUUUUUUUUUUUGAACUGUUUGAUAUAUUGGAAAGGGACAAAACCAGGUUGGGGAAGCAGGUAGACGAGGCAGAAGUAAGAUCUAUGAUACUUCCUGAGUAGUUUUAUAUUGCAAAACCGUGUGGUUCUGAUGAUUUAAAAAGUAUUAGUUGGGAGGAGGAAGCCCAUUUGUAGAUAUGGUUGCCACUGCCAUCUGUAUACAACUUAUUCUUUGGUCUCCCACUUUGAACCUUCCUGCAGCACCCUCUCAAGCUCACUAGAUCUCUCCCACCAAGUAUAAAUUGGAGUUGGAAGAGAUCAAUUUCAAGUCACUAACAUCAAACUUCUUCUCUUCAAACACCUCUUAGCAACUAUAUAGCAUAUCCCUCAAUGGCACCCAUCUAUUCCUCUUGUUCAACUGUGACAACAACCCUGCUCAUCUCUGUAUCUCUACAUUGAUCAUAGGAUAUAUGUAUGAAUUCUGCAUGUUUUAUUGCAGAUAAAUGAGUGGUUAUUCAGAGGGCAGUGCAUUGUAAUGGCAGCCUCCAAAUCAUCUUAGUUCAUUCAAAACAUUGAGCAGUUUAUUAUAACAUCCUUUCUAGUGCAGGAUUACCAGCUAGAGAGAAGAGUUCUUGAUACUGAUAUAUGUAGUACAGCUCUAAUAGAAGUUGUUCUAAACCUUCAAGGUUUAAAUGAAGGUGGCUUCCUAAUCUUAGUUGCUUGCUCGAAGCUAUAUGCAAUCUCGAUCAUAUUGUCACUAGUUUUAUGGGGCAUCCCAGGUUGGUGUAAAAAGUUGACAAAAGCUACCAUGAAAAAAGAUAUUAUUUAUUGUAAUUUUUCUCUUCAUUUUUUAAGUGAUACACCGGGUGAUAGUAUGACAAUUGAAAUGAAUCACAAUAAAUUAUUCAAAUAACAAAAAUUAUUACAUUGUUUGAAUUAAUUUUUAUUUUUAUUAAUAAAAUAAUUAAAUAUUUUAUAUCGAAGUUAUAAAUAUUUUUUAUUUUUAAAAAUAAAAAAAUUAUCUACAUACCAAUAUACAAUUUGUAUGUAUACACAGAAAAAUCAUUAAAACAUUCAUAGAUAAGGAUGAAAAUAUUGGUUUUUACAAAUAUAUUAGUAAUUGGAUUUUAUGAAUAUAUUAAAAAAUAUUGAUGAAAAUUUUAAUAAAAGAUAUCAAUAGGACGAAAUUAAUAAAACCUCAUACAAAAUGUUGAAAAAAAAUUCUAAAAGAUAAUAGAAGAAACAACAGUAAAGUUAUAUAUAUAUAUAUAAUUUUUAUGAUAUCAAGUAAUAUUAUAUAGAACUCGGAAAUAUAUUUAUAGAUGAAUGUAUUCAAAAUAAAAGAGAAUUAUUAUAUAUUAUUUUCAAAUUUAUGUUUCUGUUACUUUCUUAAAGAAAUGUUUUGUUGAUUUUGAGAAUCUCCUUUGAUUUUUAUAGCCGUUUGUGGUUGAUGGCAUAGAGAUCAUAGUAAAUAAUUACAAUUUUCUGACCAUUUUUCUGGCCUAUUGUUUUGUUUCGUGAAAUUGAAAAUUUGGUAAUAAAAACCUUUUUCCAAUUUGUAACACUGAAAACUUGAAGUUGCAAAAAAGGUAAAUUCAUGGAAGUUUGUGAUUGACAUGUGAUGGUUUAAAUUUUAGCCUGUGUGGGCUACAAUGGAAAUUUCAGUGGCUAAAUGUAACUAGUUUCUGCAACAUGUUUUUAACACGCUAGGCAAGAAAAUUUGUUAAUAUUUUUUUUCUCAAUUUUAUUAAUCCAAAUAGUCUAACCAUAGAUGGAGAAUGAACAAUACAAAUAGUGGUGUGUAUCACUGAAUAUAGUUAGAGGGAGGGUUGAAUGAGACUGAUAUCUUUUUUACCAAUCUACUCUAAGAGUUUAAUUUUUGUUUUCCUGAAAUUUUUUUAUUAUUUAACAAAUUGAUAAUCAUCUAAAAUAAAUUGUUAAUUUUAUUUUUCUUCCAUUUUUCCUUUAUUUUAUUUCGUGGUUAACCAAACAAAAGAAAAUGAAUUCCUUUUUUUUUUUCCUUUAAUUUUUCAUGGAUAACCAAAUAAGUGAAAAAAUUUAUAUUUAUUUCCUUAACUUUUUCUUUUUUUCCAUUUUUUCUCCCAUUUUUCUUUCUCUUGCAUUUUCCCGAACCAAACAUAGCCUAAAAAAACAGGUUUUCUCAUAUUUAGUUUUAUCAUAGAAAAAAUAUAUAUAUAUAUAUAAGUUAAAACCUCUUUAGGAACUUCUAUCUUGACCUUACGCUAAACCAGCCCACCAACCUAUCACAGUUGACAAUUGGUUGAGCUCUGGCGGUGAGUGGCUUUUGUCAGAAGCCGAGUAGAUUUCAAUGAAGCUAGCUAGCACCGAUCUUUUGGGCUGUUACUGGGUCCAGCAUGAGCGUAUUUGCUGGGUUGGUGAUGCUUUUUCAGGUACAAGUGGAGAUGGUGGUAGCUGGGCCAGGUGUGUAAUUUGUCCUUGUCUCCCUGUUUGGCCAUUUAGGAUCCUUUUGACUGAGAAAAAGUAGCUGAUACCGACAGGAGUGAUCUCUCCAGGAGCUUCUCUUCUAGGAGAAGGCGGACGCGGCAGACAGAAAGAGUCUUGCAAUCAAUUUCCAGAUUUUUCUAUUCCAAAACCGCGUGAGUAUUGUUGAUGCCUUGCGUUCUAGGAUACACAUAGCUGCCAAGUGGACACGCGCCUUCAAUCAAGAUUGAGUCCUGACUCAGUCGGCCCUGUAAAAGGUAUCCGGAUAGGGUGUCCGGACACACCAUCCGAUGAUUUUGUUAGCCAUGACAUAAGAUGAAGAUACUAAAAGGAAAGCAGCUUUAAAUGUAUCAAGAAUACUGAUGAUGGAGGCCCACUUGUAGACGGCGCUACUGUAUACAGCUCAGUUUCUGCUCUCCAAAUAUGAACUUUCCCAGUAGUAUCAGCAUCAUUAUAACUAAGAGAUUAGAGAGAUUGAUUUCAUUGAUUCAGCAUAACCAAAUUUCUUCACUUUGAACAUUUCUUACCAACCAUACAACAUAGUUUUCAAUGGUAUCUCCAUAUUCUUCUUUAGCUUCAGGCCUGCUGAUCUCUCUACUGGUCAGCUUCUUAAUAGUUGCUUCAACAGGUAACUUGGCAUUACUUAGGGGGAUGGGCGUGCUCAGAUACUCAACAAUCAUCCCUAUUUGAUGUGAGAUAUCAGAUGGCAUUACUUAAAAUGUGUUUACAUGAUUAAGAGGAACUCACACUUUUACAGUAUUAGAAACUUUCUCCCUAUCUGAUGUGGGAUAUCACAAUCAUCCCCAUAAAAACACAACGUCCUUGUUGCAUCACAAGGGAUUACAAGGUCAAACAAACCCUUACAUUGAGGUUAAAGAUCAACUUGAUACCAUUUGUAAGACUCGUUCUUAACUAUGUAGAUUUUAUCCUCUCUAAACCCAAAAUAACCCUCAAUACUUCAAAACGCAUCUACAUAAUUAAGAGAAGUACACAUUUACAUAGCGUCAAGAGUUUAUCUCGUCUACGAUGUAGGAUAUCACAAAGCACCAUUCACUGCCUCCUACAAGAACUACAAUGUCAAUGUUUGUGUUUGGUUCUCUAGAUCAUCUUCUCACAAUUCAACCCCUCCCUUUUCUACUUCCACCAAUGGUGCAUGGUACUCAAGAGCUAAAUUCCACAAGCCAAAAAAGAAUGAAAUGAAGGCAGAAGAAUUACAUGAUCUACAAUUACUGCACGGGCAUAAAGCAAUUCCCACAAGACCAUGCUCCUAAAUGCAUUGCUGCCACCACAUCCUAAAGGAAACUCAACCCUAAUAACAUUCAGUUGACUCUUUCUUUGCUUGUAUCAUCUUGAUAAUUCUAUUCUUUCAUUCUUUAUUGAUAAUAACAACAAUUGAAUCAAGAAAAAAAGUGUGAUAUCUCAUUAAUUGUUUAAGUUAUGAACAGAGGAAUUAUUUAUACAAGGGCAAGCACUAAUUCCAUAGCAAGAUGACAUGUUGGUUGAGUGGUUACAACUGAGUAGUAGCUUGUAUAACAGUUUGGUAAUUAAUCAGUUGUUAGUUUAGUCACUGUUAACUAUCUAGCAUUUAUAAUCACGAUUUUUAUAAUGUAAUUAUGAAUUAUGAAAUUUACUUAUUCUGAAAUAUUACCUUUUUUAAUAAAUGACCAACAUAAAUAGAAAAGCUUUAGGUUAUGUUUGGUUUCCGGAAAAUACAAAGUAAAGAAAAAAAAUACAAAGGAAAGAAAAAAAAUACAAAGGAAAAUGAUCUUUUCAUGUUUGAUUGUUCUAUGAAAAAUAUAAAAAAAAUCAAAUAUAAUUAAAAUUAAUUAAAAACUUAUGUAUUUUUAAAUUAUUUAAUCUUUAUAUUGAUGAGUUAAAAUAAAUAAAAUGAGUUUGAAGUAACAAAAAAAAAUAAUUUAUCAACUUUUAAUUAAUUUUUUUAUUUUCCUUCACUUUUUCUCUCCUUCUACUUUUCUUUUGUAUUUUCUUUCCCUUACAUUUUUCUUCAAAUUUUCUAGGAACCAAACAUAGCUUUAGUCUAGGCAAAAACCUUGGAUUUGCAAUGGCAAAACUUGUGUAUUUUAUUAUUGUUCUAUAUAUACACAAAAGGACGUUACUUUACAAAAAAGAAGAAAUACAAGAAGUAUAAAUUAGGAAAAAGAAGGAAUUAUGCUCAGAGAAGAUUCAAUCACAAAUAAAGUACACCAAAAUCAAAGAUGUACAAAAACAAAAUAUUCGAUAAUACUCUCCCUCAAGUUGAAGUAUGGAGGUACGAACACCCACUUAUGAAUGAGGGAAGGAAAAACGUUAACUCUUAAAGUCUUGAUAAAGACAUCGAUUAAUUGGUCUUUGAUUUGAAUAUAUGCAAUAUGAACUAAAUCAACUUUAAUUCUUUCGCGUAUCACAUGACAAUCAAUUUCGAUGUAUUUAGUGUGUUCACAAAAUGCUAGAUUUACAACCAUAUUGAGCUUAGGUUGUUAUUGCAAAACAUGAUAGUAGGUUGCAUAUGGGUAAUGUGUAGAUCAUGGAACAAUAAAAGAAGUCAUUGAAUUUCACAAGUUGUAACCAUGACACGAUAUUUCGGCUUUAUUAGAGGUGAUUCUUUAAAAAAUCACUUGUUUAUAUAUCAAAAAUCAAAAUGGGUGUUAUUUGUAAACACUUCUUGCUUUAUUCCUAGAUUAAAUGUAAAAAAUACACUUACCUUUAAAAAGUAAUGUAUUUUAAAAAGUAUUUAAAAAAAUUGAAAUAUUAAAAAAAAAUUACUACUUCAAAUUUUAAGAAUUUUAAAAAUACAUUUUAGAGAUAUAAAGUAAAUUGAUAGUUUUAUAUAAGAAUUAUUCUAUUUUAUAUAAAAGUUAAUAUUUAUUUCUAUUUUAAAAAAUAAAUAAUAAAAAAUAUAUCCAAACAGGCAUUAAACAAUUAUUUUUUUAAAGGUCCGGGAUGAACUGUUAAUAAAAGUAUACAAACAAUAACGUUUUAACUAAAAAUCACUCUACAACAAACUUUAAAUUAUGUAAAAUUCAGGGUUUGAUAAGUUUCCAACUCAGGGUUUAAUAAUGUGUUUGGUAAAAGGGAAAGUGGAUCUGCCCUUUUGUCCGCUUUAAGUGCAUUCAUAAACCGUGUCAAAAUGAAAGUGGGCUCUGCUUGUCCCAUUUGAUGACAACUAUUUUCUUUACAUUUUGGAGCCCAGCUGUGCCCAGCUGCUGACUGAACCUUCCUCAUCUCCUUCCAAUUCCCCCAGAACUUCUACUAUAAAACCCCACAUACCCACGCUAUUCUCUUCACUUCCAUACUCAAGCUUCUUUCCAUUUCUCGUCUCUGUAUUCGCAUUCAAUGACUUAUCCUACUACUUCAAAUCUUUCACCAAAGUUGCUCUUGCUCUCUCUUCUGCUUGGUUCCUUUGUGGUUGCUUCUGUUGGUAACUUGUACCAAGAUUUUGAUAUCACUUGGGGUGAUGGCAGAGCCAAGAUCCUCAACAAUGGACAGCUUCUUACUCUCUCUCUUGACAAAGCCUCUGGCUCUGGCUUCCGGUCCAAUAAUGAGUAUCUGUUUGGGAAGAUUGAUAUGCAGCUGAAGCUUGUGCCUGGAAACUCUGCUGGCACUGUCACUGCCUACUAUGUAAGCCUCCUCUUUACCAAGCGUUUUUCCAUCAAACGCUCUCUUGUUUUCAUCUUCUUCUGACUCACAAAUCAAUAUCCUGCUUUGUGUAAUUGCAGCUAUCGUCACAAGGGCCUACCCAUGAUGAGAUAGAUUUUGAAUUCUUGGGGAAUCUCAGUGGUGAUCCAUACAUUCUUCACACUAAUGUGUUCAGCCAAGGCAAGGGAAACAGAGAGCAGCAAUUCUACCUCUGGUUCGACCCAACUGCCGAUUUCCACACAUACUCCGUUCUCUGGAAUCCCCAGCGCAUUAUGUAAGUACUAUUAUCCUGAUCUCCAAACCUGAAAUCUGGUUUAUGUUUUUCGGGUUUCUGUAUUGAUUUACUCAUCAUGGGUAUCUCUGUUUCAGCUUCUCUGUGGAUGGCACCCCCAUCAGAGAGUUCAAAAAUUCAGAAUCCAUUGGUGUUCCAUACCCGAAAAACCAGCCCAUGAGGAUAUACUCCAGUCUAUGGAAUGCAGAUGACUGGGCAACAAGGGGUGGGCUUGUCAAGACAGACUGGAGCCAAGCACCCUUCACUGCCUCCUACAGGAACUUCAAUGCCAAUGCUUGUGUGUGGUCCUCUGGAUCAUCUUCUUGCAGUUCAACCUCUCCAUCUUCUACCUCCACCAAUGGUGGAUGGUAUUCACAGGAGCUAGAUUCCACAAGCCAAGAGAGAAUGACAUGGGUGCAGAAGAAUUACAUGAUCUACAAUUACUGCACUGACACAAAGCGAUUCCCACAGGGCCUUCCUCCUGAAUGCACAGCCACUACCAUGUCCUAGAAGGAACCGAACCUAAGCCCAUUCAAUCAAUUCUAUUCUUUAAUUCUUUAUCCUUUUAGUUGCUGUUACAACAGCAGAAACCUCAUAUUGUUUACAUUGUAAUAUACGAGUCAAUGCAGAUAAUAAAAGAUUAUUUAUGAAUGACAUGCACUGUUUUUGAACCUCAAUUUGGAUGUCAAAAACCACUAGAGAAAGAAAGGAAAUUGUUGAAAAUGACUGAAGAGAUGAACCAUUGUCAAUGCAAUUUUUAGCUUUUUUUUUCAAUUUGCUUUCCCUGUUCUUUAACUUAUGAGACACAGAUGGGGCCUUGAACCAAAUUUAAGGAGUAAAUAGUUUUUAUUUCCUUCCUUCUAAUUGUAAACAGCAAGAAAGUACAGUUAAAACCACAAAAACCAAGCACUGAGUCGCACAAGAAGCUCUAAGCAUGAUGAAGGUGGCAAACAGACCCAUGAAAAACCACCAAUUCAUGAACAAAACAGUCCCACGUCCCAUGAAUAAUCUAUUGUUAAUUUCUGUCCCACCUCCUUUGCUUGUGGAAGUCAGCAAACCUCUCUGUGGUUCUGGUGACAUGGACAUUGUUGUAUAGACUCCUCUCAAUAUCUACCCAAUUGGGAGGAGAUCGUUACAAUGAUAUCAAAGUCGAUCAUCGACCUCAAUAUGAGAGUUUGUUUGGCCUUACAAGAAGUGUCUGUCUAUUUAAUUAGAUAAUCUUAUGAAACACAAUGAGGAUGUUAUGUCUGCAUAAGGAGUAGGUGAUUGUAAUAUUCCCUAAAUACAUAUGAGUUUCUCUUUACCUUAUAGAAAUGUUUUAAAGUCGUGAGGAUUCUUUGAGUUUAAAGUUGACAAUAUCCCCUAUCAUAUGAGUUUGAUUCUCUUUGUGAUAAUAGGUAAAUUGAUUAUUAGUCACUUCUACUAUAAUAGAUAUGACACAUGAAUACUAAGUCACCUCUGAUUUUUGUAGUGUGCUUUUUUAUAAGUUUCUGCCCUGUUCACAUUAGGGAAGCUCUAGAAUAUGUGAGUAGGUAACUGGAUCUUACUAUGGGUGUUGAACUGGCAGUGACGGAUGCUUGGGCAGGUGCUGCUUGUCUUUCUCUCCUUGUUUUGGCACUUCGGAUGUUUAGAGUUGGAAAAAGUGGCUGACAGUGGGUGGAGUGAUCUAUGUAGGAAGCUCUCGUCCAGCACAUUUUUACACUACAACGUCCUUUCAAGGUUUGGUUUGGGUAAAAGGAAAUGAUUUGAAUUAAUCGAUCAGCAUCUACCAAUCAUUACAAGUUCUUAUUGAGAUGAUAUUACAGAGAAAUGAAGACAUUGUUCUCUGGUGUCUGGUGAAGAUGCUAUAAUUUUUCAAAUAAUUCAGUGAGUAGGAAGAGAAUGAUCAUUCUUUGAAAUAUGCAGCGAAAAAUACAAGAGAGGACUUAGAUUUUGUUAGCACAAGAGAUAUGGAGGAGAACUCGCCUUCUCUUUGGUCGGAAGAAGCUAUUCAUAGAGUUUUUCCAUGGGUUUCUAGUGAAAUUUCUUACUUAUUCUUAUCUCUUUCCCUUUAGUAGGAAUGACAACUUUAUAGGCUUUGUAACUAUGAUUUUUUACCAUUCUUGUUCUUGACAGAUAUGGUAUGGGGGGGCGGGGGCGGGGUGUGGUUUCUUGCUCUUAAUUCAGUUGAAAUAAUAAUAAAUAAACUGCACUUGAAGCCAUGAGAAUCACCUGCCUUUUCGGGCUGUAACUCGACUUGUACUAUCAGUGUUUGUUUAUUGUCUGAUUGAAGCACUUGCAGCUACCAACUGGCAGUGAUGAUGGCUUGGGCAGGUGCUAUUUGUCUUUCUCUCCCCUGUUUUUUGGCAUUUAGGAUCCUUCACCCUAGGAAAAAUGGCUGAUGGAAGAAGCUGUAGUCCAGCACAUUUUUACACUGAAUUGCCCCUUUGUAGUUUGUAUCUCGAGCCAAAAGCUUUACUACAGUCAAAAGGAAAUGACUGAAAUCAAGUAAUGAUCAACAUCAAUUGAUCAGGACAAGUUUUUGUUAAGCUGUUAACAACUUUGAUAUACUGGAAAGGAUUCCAAACCUGGUUGGGGGACGCGGCAGAAGUUAAAAGCAUUGAUAUUUGCUCAGUACUUUUCUAUCGGGAUACCGUGUGAUUGUGAUGAUUUUAAAAAUAUCAGUAGGAAGUCGGGUUUGGUUGUAUUGUGAGUACUGAUGAAGGAGGCCCGUUUGCAGAUGGGUUGCCACUGCCACCUGUAUACAACACAUUUUUUGGCUCUCCAACUUUGAACCUUCCCAGAAUUAACACACCCCUCUCUCUCCACCAUUAGUAUAAAUGUCGGCUGAGAGAUCAAUUUCAAUUCACUGAAAUCAAACAUCUUCUCUUCAAACACCUCUUACCAACCAUACAGCACAUCCCUCAAUGGCACCCAUCUAUUCUUCUUCUUCAGCUGUUUCUACGGCCCUGCUAAUCUCUGUAGUGGUAAGCUUCUUAAUGGCUGCCUCAGCAGGUAACUUCUACCAAGACUUUGACAUCACUUGGGGGGAUAGGCGUGCUAAGAUACUCGACAAUGGAGAGUUUCUCACUCUUUCCCUUGACACGACCUCUGGAUCUGGUUUCCAGUCCAAGAAUGAGUAUUUGUUUGGGAAGAUUGACAUGCAGCUCAAACUUGUUCCUGGAAACUCUGCUGGCACCGUCACUGCCUACUAUGUAAGCCCGCCUUUCAUAUUACUUGUUGCACAUCAUCCUCCAUUUGAUGACCAUUUGUUCUCCAGAUUAGUAUGCAGUUCUCAUUCAUGUAUGUGUGGAUUUGCAGUUAUCUUCACAAGGGCCAACCCAUGAUGAAAUCGACUUUGAAUUCCUGGGGAACCUCAGUGGGGAUCCAUAUAUCCUCCACACUAAUGUGUUCAGCCAAGGCAAGGGGAACAGAGAGCAGCAGUUCUACCUCUGGUUUGACCCCACUGCUGAUUUCCACACCUACUCCAUCCUUUGGAAUCCCCAGCGCAUAAUGUAAGUAGUAUCGUUAUCUUCAUAACUGCAACCUGGUUUAUGUUUUUGCGGUUCUUGUAUUGAUUUACUCAUCUGGGGUGUCUAUGUUUCAGCUUCUCUGUGGAUGGUACCCCCAUCAGAGAGUUCAAGAACUCUGAGUCCAUUGGUGUUCCAUUCCCAAAGAACCAGCCCAUGAGGAUAUACUCCAGCCUCUGGAACGCAGAUGACUGGGCAACAAGAGGUGGGCUGGUGAAGACAGACUGGACCCAAGCCCCCUUCACUGCUUCCUAUAGGAACUUCAAUGCAGAUGCCUGCAUUUGGUCUUCUGGAGCAUUUUCUUGCAGUUCAAAUACCCCACUUCUAUCUCCCCCAGUACUGACUGGUACUCACUUCAAAAAAUUGAAAUAAUAAAAAAAAUUAUAUAAAUCUUAACGGUUAUUUCUUUAUUCAAAUAUAUAAAAUAGGAAGCGGAUUAAAUAGACACUUAAUUUUUAAUAUUAUUAAAUAGUAUUUAGACUUAAAUUAAAUUAAAAUCUAUUUACAUUUAAGACAAAAAAAAAAUAACAAACAAACAUUACCUUGACGAAAAAACUUAGAGUCUAUUUGAUAGUAAUUUUAGGAAGCGUUUCUAAAAUUUUUAGUACUUAAAAAAUUUUAUUUUUUAAGUGUUAUAACCCAUUUGGCAAUAAUUUUAAUAAGUGUUUCGAAACUUUUUAACACUUUAAAAUUUGUAUUAUUCAAGUGUUAGAAAGGCUAAAAGCAUUUUCUUGAAUCACUACCAAUUAUGCUCUUAGAAAAGUUAAAAACGCUUAUUGGAAUCACUAUCAAACGCACUCUUAAAACAUGUUUAACAGUGUUUCUACUCAAAGUGUUUUUAGUAGAAAUGUUUUCUUUUAAAGUGUUUUAAAGAUAAUUACCAAUCAAGUGUUUUUCCAUAAAACACUACAAGUGAUUUUCCACACCAAAGUGAUUUUUUAUAUUUUUUUAAAGUGUUUCCUCAAAUUUGUCAAACACUUAGACCCCAUUUGGUAGUGAUUCUAGGAAGUGUUUUUAAUAUCUCUAAUACUUGAAAAAAUUUAUCAUUCAAAUGUUAAAAAUUCUAUAAACGCUUUCUAGAAUCACUCUUAAAGUGCAUUUGACAAUUAUUAUAGGAAGUGUUUUUGGACUUUAUAAUACUUAAAUGAUGAAAAUUUCAAAGUGUUAUAAAAGCUUAGAAACAUUUCCUAGAAUCACUACCAAACGCACUCUUAAUUGUUUUCAAAAACACUUUUUAGAUUAAAAAUGCUUCCUAAAAUCAUUGUCAAAUACAAACUCUUAAUUAUAUUUAGAGUUAACUUGAUGAUAUUUGCAAGUCCAUCAUAUAAUUUGGUCAUUAUUGGAAAGUAAAAUACUCAUAUAUGAAGAGUAACUUGAUUAUAGUUAGGAAAUGAAUUGGUUUACUUAGUUCCAAAUAUAUCCAUAUGAAUUUAAUUAUUAAAACUGAAGAUAUCAUACCUCUACAACAUGACCACAUGACCUAAAAGGUACAACUAAAACACUCCAAAGGAGGUUGGCAUGGAUGGAAGAAUUUUUAAAAUUUGGCUAGGUCAAGUUUGGUAUUGAACACUUUUAAUCUAUAAAUUAUUUCCAUAUUGUGUAGAUAUUAUCCAUUGUUUUCCACGAAAUUCCUUAUGUUAGAUCUUUGAAACCUCUCAUACAAGUUAUUCUCAUUAUUUUCCACAAGGAAUCAACUCUGGAAUUAUUUAGCAUACUUCAUGCAAAAGCUAAAAUUCUUCAUGAAAAACUGAAAUUUUAUUCCAUCAUUUGUUGGAGAUAAAGAGGGAUUUUUGCAAUUUGGUAGAUGCAGAGCGUAAUUAGAUUGAGUAGGAGGACCACUUUUUGUCAUGCAGCUUAGGGUUUAUAUAGCUAGUGUAUUCUAUCAUGAGUCAAAACUUUUCCACAGGUUGGCACAUGGGAUAACAGCCUUCGUUCAUUAGAAGCCAAUAGUUUGUAGUAUCUUCUCGUGAGGGUCAAGUCUGUUAGUUUAUCAUACUCGAGGUAGAUCGUUGCCAAGGUAUCUAUUUUUGGACGAGUCGAUUUUAGGUAGCUUCAUGGUUUUGUGUCGUUUAACUACAGAUACUCUUUACUUGAGACGGCCUUGAAAUUGGAUGCCUAAAGGGUAGUGCUUUGGGAUGGAUUCAUUCUAUCCACUUCACUUCACCUUCUCACAUAAAUAAUAUUAGAUCUAGACUCAUCAACACUCACAAUUUCAAAAUAAGACCAUAUAUUUUAGAGUAGUAACUCCUUAUAAAUACUAGGAACUCCUCCGAUCCUCUCAUCCUAUUACCAAAAAUCAAUAUUGGCCGGAUUUCACAUUUAUUUUAGCAUAUUGUGGACAAAGGUCCACUAAUAUUACGAUCAUCUUACACAUUAAGCCCCAAAGUCCAACAUAGAAAUGACAGAUAGAUACAAAUGCAGCUAGCAUUUAAAGCUAGCUACUUCAAAACUUGAAUUAAAAAGUGCAAAAAAGUAGCUAUUUUCAGUGGUGGUUCAAACUUCAGGGGCGGUGGUGGUCCUAGGUAUGGAUAAUACUUGGUGUUUGGUAGGAGGGAAAGUGGUUUCGCCCUUCUGUUUCUUUUUUCAAGUGCAUGCAUAGACCGUGUCAAAAUGAAAGUGGGUUGCGCUUGUGCCAUUAGAUGACAGCUAUUGCCUUUACAUGUUGAGCUAGCUCAACUGUGUACAGCUGCUGACUCAUCCUUCCUUCUCUCCUUCCAGGCUUCCGCUUUCCCCCUUCACCAUCUAUACUAUAAAACCCCACGUAGCCACACCAUUCUCCUCACUUCCACACUCCAAACUUCUCCCCAUUUCUCAUCUCUAUAUUCACAUUCAAUGGCUUCUACUUCUACUUCAAAUCUUUCACCAAAGUUGCUCUUGCUCUCUCUUCUGCUUGGUUCCUUUGUGGUUGCUUCUGUUGGUAACUUGUACCAAGAUUUUGAUCUCACUUGGGGUGAUGGCAGAGCCAAGAUCCUCAACAAUGGACAGCUUCUUACUCUCUCCCUUGACAAAGCCUCUGGCUCUGGCUUCCAGUCCAAGAAUGAGUAUCUGUUUGGGAAGAUUGAUAUGCAGCUGAAGCUUGUGCCUGGAAACUCUGCUGGCACUGUCACUGCCUACUAUGUAAGCCUCCUCUUUACCAAGUGUUUUUGCAUCAAAUGCUUUCUUGGUUUCAUCUUCUUCUGACUCACAAACCAAUACCCUGCUUUGUGUAAUUGCAGCUAUCUUCACAAGGGCCUACCCAUGAUGAGAUAGAUUUUGAAUUCUUGGGGAAUCUCAGUGGUGAUCCAUACAUUCUUCACACUAAUGUGUUCAGCCAAGGGAAGGGAAACAGAGAACAGCAGUUCUACCUCUGGUUUGACCCCACUGCUGAUUUCCACACCUAUUCCAUCCUCUGGAAUCCCCAGCGGAUUAUGUAAGCACUAUAGUAAUUAAUCUUCAAAACUGCAAUCUUGUUUACGUUUUUCGGGUUUUUGUAUUGAUUUACUCAUCUGGGGUAUCUCUGUUUCAGCUUCUCUGUGGAUGGCACCCCCAUCAGAGAGUUCAAGAACUCAGAGUCCAUUGGUGUUCCAUUCCCAAAGAACCAGCCCAUGAGGAUAUACUCGAGUCUCUGGAAUGCUGAUGACUGGGCAACAAGAGGUGGUCUUGUGAAGACAGACUGGACCCAAGCACCCUUCACUGCCUCCUACAGGAACUUCAAUGCCAAUGCUUGUGUGUGGUCCUCUCGAUCAUCUUCUUGCAGUUCCACCUCUCCAUCUUCUACCUCCACCAAUGGGGGAUGGUACUCACAGGAGCUAGAUUCCACAAGCCAAGAGAGAAUGAAAUGGGUGCAGAAGAAUUACAUGAUCUACAAUUACUGCACAGACACAAAGAGAUUCCCACAGGGCCUUCCCCCUGAAUGCACUGCCACCACCACAUCCUAAAGGAGACUCAACCUUAAAGGCC